CGUUCUAAGCCCUAAUUCGUUCAUAAAUACCAGUCUGGAGGAAAGCUAGGUUUGAAAAAUCGAAGUGCUUGCAAAUCUAUUUUCUUUCCCCGCUCUCUUUACCCUCUUCUUUCGGACCUUCUGCUUGCAAAAUGUCUGCCGCAUCCGAACCGAGAUCUAAAGCGCCUUUGCUGCCGACGACAAGCAGCUUCCAGCAAUCGACCUCUACGUCCGAUCGUUUCUAUACGCCGGCGUUAGCUUCAUCGGAAACGCCUUCCUCCUCAUUUUCAUCCUUCUCCGCCCAAUCGUCAACCUUCUUCCCGCGCCCCAUCCUCCCCACUCGCGUAAGCAUCGUUGGAUCCUUCCCACAGGUCCCCUCCGUUCGAUUCGCUAUUGAACGACCCACCUCACCUGGUCGCUCCAUGUCCGCCAUUACUAGCCAUGAUCGGAUCGUUCGCCCUUCUCUGUCUUCCUCGGCUGGCCGCAAGAUCUGCACGUGCUCGCCAACGACUCAUCCGGGAUCCUUCCGCUGCAGCCUCCACAGGGGUCUCAAUCAUCAACAAGCAGCGGCAUCCGUAUCAUCGCCGUCCAAUCGACUAAACGCCCGCCGAUCUGCGAUGACAAACUCGCUUGUCCGGAUUGGGACAGUUGAGGGCGAAUUGGUCAAAAGGGCCCUCUCGGCGCUAAUCCGCCCUUCCUCGCAUCAUCAGCGAAGGAGAGCAGACUUCCAGCCCCGGCCAAGUCGGCUUUCUAGGAUGUCCAAUGCUGACGAUCUUAUGAUCGUUGUAGGAAGGAACUGAAGAUCUUGAUGCAGGUCUGUUGAUAUUCACAAAAAAGCAUAACACGUUACCUCACCACUCUUCACUGCCGAUGUCAGUGUCUUCGAUUUUGUUUCCAUACUGAUUUUCUUUAUUGUAACGUGAGGAGGUAAGCAGUAGCGAUGGCGGAACUGGUCAAAUCCGUCAUAUAUUGUACAUAGUUUUCUAUAGUAGAUAUUGAUGGAUGUGCAUCCAGAUUUUCAGAGAACGAGAACUUGGAUACAUUGGACGCCAACUAAUUUCGUAGAAAUUGUUUCGAAGGCAAGAAUCCCUACAACAAACAUCUCCCGUCGACGUCGACGUCGCCGCCGUCGAUUCGUACGUGUUUUCAGUUGUCACGAUCGGUAUACCUCGGAACCGUUUCAGUUACAUACGGUAUGUAAAAAGAAAAAAGUAACUUCCUCAUAUAACAUAGGUGCGUAAAUUGAACCUCAUAUUUGCUCCCACUUAAAAGGAAGAUUAUUAUUGUUAUUUUUUUUAUUCAGCAUUAAUUUUUGGGAAAUUUACAUUCAGAGCUCCUAAUUUUAUGCAUUCAUUUAUCUCCCACCCAAAAUCUUAUUUUUACGAUUCAAUCACUGAACUUACCCUUUUUCACGGCUAUCUAACUGACUGAACUUCACUUUUUCACGGCUCUCGAACAGUGAAAUCCAUAUUUUUUGUCUAUUGGUAGGGUACUGGUUUUAUAAAAAUAAGAGUUUGGGUGAGAUAGAUAAACACUCAAGAAUUGGGUGCUGGGUAUGUAAAUUUCCGUUAAUUUUUUUAUAAAUUGUGAGGGUCUGAGUUUCAAGUUAUUCAUUGAACAAGUGCAGAUGGAAUCGAACAAGUGCGCACAUUAACACAUUAAUUCAUAUUAUUUUUAAAACUUUGAUUAGAACUCCUUAAAAUAUUGAUAUUGAAACGAGGUUCAAGAUCUGUCAUAUUUGGUCUAAAUUUGUAAUUAUAUUUAUGAUUAAAUUCGCUUAUGUCAUCAAAAAUUUUUGAUGGGAUAAUUACAAAGAGCCCCCCUUAAUAUUGACAUUUGAUGCAUGCUAGUAAAUUCGCAGGAGGAGAGUGAUGAAUUAUUGUCGUAACAUUGUACAAAAAUCCAACACACACUUAGAUAGAUGUAACUAAAAACGACACCAAAAGUAUUUACUUUGAAAACCAAAAAAGGGAAAAAACCACGAGGCAUUGCCUGGUUGAAAUAUUUCACUAUGAGUUGUUGAUUAUAUGUACAAUCCUUUGCCCCACAAGCGGAAAAAUGUUAUAGAGUUUCUCGGGUUACAAUAUCUAUGUGUAAGAAGAAUUGCCGCGGUAGGCAGUGGGUGGCGGCGGCGAUGACCAAAGGCGUCCGUGGUGGCGACUACUUGAAGAGGCGGCGGUGAAUGCGACCUCGAGCGGAGGUCGUCAGAAGCAAAAAUGGCCGGAGGCGGCGGUGAAUGUGACCCAAGGCAGCGGCGGUCAGA